UACGGAGGAUCCAAGCGUUAUCCGGAUUUAUUGGGUUUAAAGGGUGCGUAGGCGGCCUAUUAAGUCAGGGGUGAAAGACGGUAGCUUAACUAUCGCAGUGCCCUUGAUACUGAUGGGCUUGAAUGUACUUGAGGUAGGCGGAAUGUGACAAGUAGCGGUGAAAUGCAUAGAUAUGUCACAGAACACCAAUUGCGAAGGCAGCUUACUAAAGUAUGAUUGACGCUGAGGCACGAAAGCGCGGGGAUCAAACAGG
rnacentral:rRNA from 1 species